AAGAAGAAGAAGAAGAUGGCUGCCAGGAGGAACAACCCUUCAGGUAUAGUUCCUACCAUACAGAACAUUGUAUCGACAGUAGAUUUGGACUGUGUAUUGGAUCUUAAGCACAUAGCACUGCAUUCUCGCAAUUCUGAGUUCUUUCCUAAGCGUUUCUCCGCUGUGAUUAUGAGAAUCAAAGAUCCCAAAACUACUGCCUUGAUUUUUGCCUCUGGCAAGAUGGUCUGCACUGGUGCAAAAACCGAAGCGCAGUCUAAACUUGCGGCCAGGAAGUUUGCAAGAAUUAUUCAGAAGCUAGGGUUUCCUGCCAAGUUUAGAGACUUCAGGAUCCAGAAUAUUGUUGCCUCUUGCGAUGUUCAAUUCACUAUCAGACUUGAGAAGUUUGCCUGCACAUCCCAUGGUGCCUUUUCCACCUACGAACCUGAACUCUUCCCUGGCCUUAUCUACCGCAUGAAACAGCCAAAGCUCGUGUUGCUUAUCUUUGUCUCUGGGAAGGUUGUGAUCACUGGAGCCAAGAAAAGGGAUGACUUCUACACUGCCUUCGACAACAUAUACUCUGUUCUUGCAGAGUUCAAGAAGUAAGGGAGGUCUUCUCAGUUAUGAUCUGUAGAAAUAGAUAAAUUUUGGCCUAGAAUUAAACCAAUCACUGCAAUGAUUCAUGCCACUCACAUUGGGCAAUGG
rnacentral:misc_RNA from 1 species